AGGGGAGCGGCGGGGCUGGCGCCUCCGGCUUAUCAGGGGGAAGCUGAGGCAGCGCGGGCAGCGUGUGAACUCAGACAGGCUGCAGGUUCAAUGAGCCGCAGCGCUGGUGGAACGAUGAGUCUCUUGCAGAGCUCACGGGUGGACCUGGCGUUCAGUAAGAAUUCUCUUCAAGCCUUUCAUUUCUUUUUGUGGCUAUUGCUGCUUUACGUGAAGCACCUGAUUCCAUUGGAGCCCCUGUGUGCGCAGGGGCACUUCUGCAGCAGCACCGGCGUCAGUGCCAGCGGCCGGGGCUCCUGCCCAGGGACACGGGCUCGUCCCGCCCCGCGCUGGGCAGGACACGGUGCGGCCUGCCGCGCUGGCACGGGACACACGGCGAAGAGCAAUAGCAGUGAGUACGUACUUUAUCAAGAGAGUCUUGACAGUUAAUGAUGAAUCCUACUCCAGCUGUUGCCUUGUCAUGAUUUCUGGAAACCCUGGCUGUCUGUCUCUUCCCCUUUUCUGGUAAAGUUGUGGAUUUCUUGCCAGUAUGUCACAAUCAGGUGUUGAUUCUGGAGAUGUUGAACAUGCCCGAGGAAAGCUGUAAAUACAGUGAAACUGGUGAUUUGUAAAGUACAGCGACACGGACUGCAUCUCUGGUUUUCAGUACUUUGUUCUGAGUGGCAUUUGGGAAACGUAAAACAGGAAAAGCCAGCUGCAAGAAUUCGAAACUGGCUACAGGGUUAUGUUGUGGGUUUUUUAACAAAUUUAAUUAGACUCUGGAAAUAUAUUUUUUACCUUUGUAGCAUCUAUAAAAUUAACAAGAUUUGCAGAAACUGUUGUCAGCUGUAAUAGGAAAAAAAGCAAAAGUAACUUUGCCUUUGGUUCAGAGGCGGUAUUUCAGAACCAGAAAUGGAGAUGAAGCUUUGCGUGGGAGGGAGAUCAGCUCGGCACUGGGGAAGCUCCUUUUCCCAGGGUUUCCUGCAGCACAGACUCGGGCGUGGAUUCCAGAGAUUCUAAAAGUUUUUCGCAGCAAUUGGUUUAACAACCUUGUCAAAAGCCCGGACUGUUGGAAGCAGCUGGAGCUUGUCAGGGGAAUUAUAGAAUCAUUUGGUUUGGAAGAGACCCUCAGGAUCAUGGAGACCAACCCUAACCCACCCCAGCACUGCCCCCUGUCCUGAGAGCCUCAUGUCCGUCUGUCCAGCCCUCCAGGGCUGGUGACUCCAGCACUGCCCUGGGCAGCCUGUUCCAAUGCCCCACAGCCCUUUGGGGAAGAAAUUGUUCCCACAUCCAACCUCAACCUCCCCUGGGCAACUUGAGGCCGUUUCCUCUGCUCCUGGCGCUUGUUCCUGGGGAGCAGAGCCCGACCCCCCUGGCUCCAAGCUCCUUUCAGGCAGUUCAGAGAUCAGAAGGUCUCCCCUCAGCUCCUGUUCUCCAGCUGAACCCCCAGGUCCCUCAGCCGCUCCAUCACACUUGUGCUACAGCCCCUCACCAGCUCCGUUCCCUUCUCUCCACUCGCUCCAGCACCUCAAGGGAUGUCCUGCAGUGAUGGGCCCAAAACUGACCCCAGGAUUCAAGGUAUAACACAGUAUUCAAGAAGUACUGUUGAGCCUGACGCCAGCUCUUGCUCAGUUAGAAACAACCCAAGGUCUACUUCUCUGCACAGCUCUGUGUUUCCUCUUCAGAUUCUGUCAUGAGGAGUCCCCAGAGCUUCUCUCUGAGGACCUCCCUGGGUCUGAAUAACCGAGGAACAUCUCUGUAUCUGCCCAGAACCCAGGGAUGGCGGCACGCUGCUUUGGCGGCCCUGCCGGAGAACAAGCUCACCUGGGUGCUCGCAGGUCACCCGAGGCCUCUGCUAUGAGGCGGUUCACGACACCACUGGGAAGCAGCCGUCCUCUCCCUGCAAGGCACGCUCCAGCUCCCGGUGUGUGUCCACCCGGUCGCCCUGGGGACAGACCACAAAGGGCAGCGAUGGGACUCGCUUUGCCCUCGUUCCCAGGGAGCCACCAGGGACCCACUGUUCUCCAAACCAUCUGUGGGACACGGGCACGAGGCACGGGCUGCAGGCAUCGCGUCGGGAGAGCCACGGGCAACGGCAAGAUCUUCUGCGGCAGCUCUGAGACAAGCAGAGAGCCAGGGCGGGACACGGACCCCACCAGGGGAAGAGGCCGUGGGGGUCACUCCUGAGGACGGGGAAGGUGGCGGUCAGACGGAAGGUGCCAGGCGGGCAAGGGGAGGGCGUGGGGACCAGCCCCUGCCCCGAGGAGGAGAAGCCAUGAGCACCCUGCACCCGGUGUCGCUCCUCGCACAGGCAGGAGCCCCGCGCUGCUGGGACAGCUCCAAACCAAACUCAGGAGGGGCCUUGGGUAGCUGGGGAAGGGCGCUGGGGAGAAGCUGGGGCUGACGGCAGAGGCCCUGCCCUGCCCGGGAGAGAGCUGAGAGCUCCUGGGGACAGGAGGGAGGCAGCAGCGACAUUAGUCCCACCUGAGCGGCAGGAUCAGCGCUUGGGGACACAGCUUGCGGGGCAGAGAUGGCGUCAGACAAGAUCCCUCCUCUGCCGUGGAACCUCUUGUGUUUGAACCCAUUAACCCCUUGUCCUCAUUGGUUGUCACCGAGAAGAGCCUGGCUCCAUCCUCCUCACACUCACCCUUUAUAUAUUUGUAAACAUUAAUAAGGUCACCCCUCAGUGUCCUCUUGUCCAGCUCCAGAGCCCCAGCUCCCUCAGCCUUUCCUCACACGGGAGAUGCUCCACUCCCUCCAGCAUCUUUGUUGCCCUGCACUGGACUCUCUGCAGCAGUUCCCUGUCCUGCUGGAACUGAGGGGCCACAGCUGGACACAAGAUUCCAGGUGUGGUCUCCCCAGGGCAGAGCAGAGGGGCAGGAGAACCUCUCUGACCUACUGACCACCCCCUUCUAACCCACCCCAGGUCCCAUUGGCUUCCUGGCCACAAGGGCCCAGUGCUGGCUCAUGGUCACCCUGCUGUCCCCAGGACACCCAGGUCCCUUUCCCCUACACUGCUCUCUAAUAGCUCAUUCCCCAACUUACACUGAACCUGGGGUUGUUCCUGCCCAGAUUCAACACUCUGCACUUGCCCUUGUUCUAUUUCAUUAAAUGUUUCCCCACCCAGA